rnacentral:rRNA from 1 species
UACGUAGGUCCCGAGCGUUGUCCGGAUUUACUGGGUGUAAAGGGAGCGCAGGCGGCCUGGCAAGCCUGAUGUGAAAUACCGGGGCCCAACCCCGGGGCUGCAUUGGGAACUGCCAGGCUGGAGUGCCGGAGAGGCAGGCGGAAUUCCUAGUGUAGCGGUGAAAUGCGUAGAUAUUAGGAGGAACACCAGUGGCGAAGGCGGCCUGCUGGACGGUGACUGACGCUGAGGCUCGAAAGCGUGGGGAGCAAACAGG